rnacentral:rRNA from 1 species
UGGGGAAUAUUGCACAAUGGGCGCAAGCCUGAUGCAGCCAUGCCGCGUGUAUGAAGAAGGCCUUCGGGUUGUAAAGUACUUUCAGCGGGGAGGAAGGUGUUGAGGCUAAUAACCUCAGCAAUUGACGUUACCCGCAGAAGAAGCACCGGCUAACUCCGUGCCAGCAGCCGCGGUAAUACGGAGGGUGCAAGCGUUAAUCGGAAUUACUGGGCGUAAAGCGCACGCAGGCGGUCUGUCAAGUCGGAUGUGAAAUCACCGGGCUCAACCUGGGAACUGCAUUCGAAACUGGCAGGCUAGAGUCUUGUAGAGGGGGGUAGAAUUCCAGGUGUAGCGGUGAAAUGCGUAGAGAUCUGGAGGAAUACCGGUGGCGAAGGCGGCCCCCUGGACAAAGACUGACGCUCAGGUGCGAAAGCGUGGGGAGCAAACA